rnacentral:rRNA from 1 species
AGCGAACGUUUGCGGCGGGCCUAACACAUGCAAGUCGAACGCACUAGCAAUAGUGAGUGGCGCACGGGUGCGUAACACGUGGGUAAUCAACCCUUCAGCCUGGGAUAACGACUCGAAAGGGUCGCUAAUACCGGAUACGGCGCGAGAGGCUUCGGCUUCUCACGAGAAAGCCACGCAAGGGGCACUGAAGGACGAGCCUGCGGCCCAUCAGCUAGUUGGUGAGGUAAGAGCUCACCAAGGCUAAGACGGGUAGCUGGUCUGAGAGGAUGAUCAGCCACACUGGAACUGAGACACGGUCCAGACUCCUACGGGAGGCAGCAGUGGGGAAUAUUGCGCAAUGGGCGAAAGCCUGACGCAGCCACGCCGCGUGAGCGAUGAAGGCCUGGGUCGUAAAGCUCUGUGGGUAGAGACGAAGAAAGACCUGUGAAGAGCAGGCCUUGACGGUAGUCUCCUUAGCAAGCACCGGCUAACUCCGUGCC